rnacentral:rRNA from 1 species
UACGGGGGGGGCUAGCGUUGUUCGGAAUUACUGGGCGUAAAGCGUGCGCAGGCGGUCUGUUAAGACAGAUGUGAAAUCCCCGGGCUUAACCUGGGAACUGCAUUUGUGACUGGCAGGCUAGAGUAUGGCAGAGGGGGGUAGAAUUCCACGUGUAGCAGUGAAAUGCGUAGAGAUGUGGAGGAAUACCGAUGGCGAAGGCAGCCCCCUGGGCCAAUACUGACGCUCAUGCACGAAAGCGUGGGGAGCAAACAGG